rnacentral:rRNA from 1 species
CGGUGGAGCAUGUGGUUUAAUUCGAAGCAACGCGCAGAACCUUACCAGCGUUUGACAUGUCCGGACGAUUUCCAGAGAUGGAUCUCUUCCCUUCGGGGACUGGAACACAGGUGCUGCAUGGCUGUCGUCAGCUCGUGUCGUGAGAUGUUGGGUUAAGUCCCGCAACGAGCGCAACCCUCGCCUUUAGUUACCAUCAUUCAGUUGGGUACUCUAAAGGAACCGCCGGUGAUAAGCCGGAGGAAGGUGGGGAUGACGUCAAGUCCUCAUGGCCCUUACGCGCUGGGCUACACACGUGCUACAAUGGCAGGUACAGUGGGCAGCAAUCCCGCGAGGGUGAGCUAAUCUCCAAAACCUGUCUCAGUUCGGAUUGCACUCUGCAACUCGAGUGCAUGAAGGCGGAAUCGCUAGUAAUCGCGGAUCAGCAUGCCGCGGUGAAUACGUUCCCAGGCCUUGUACACACCGCCCGUCACACCAUGGGAGUUGGAUUCACCCGAAGGCGUUGCGCUAACUCAGCAAUGAGAGGCAGGCGACCACGGUGGGUUUAGCGACUGGGGUGAAGUCGUAACAAGGUAGCCGUAGGGGAACCUGCGGCUGGAUCACCUCCUU